GACGAACGCUGGCGGCGUGCUUAACACAUGCAAGUCGAACGGUGAAGCGCUUUCCUUUUUGGUUGGUGUGGAUGAGUGGCGAACGGGUGAGUAACACGUGAGUAACCUGCCCCCUUCUUCUGGAUAACCGCAUGAAAGUGUGGCUAAUACGGGAUAUUCUGCGCCUGCUGCAUGGUGGGUGUGGGAAAGAUUGUGCCUUUGGGUGUUUUCGGUGGGGGAUGGGCUCGCGGCCUAUCAGCUUGUUGGUGGGGUGAUGGCCUACCAAGGCGGUGACGGGUAGCGGGCCGGAGGGGGUGGACGGUCACACUGGGACUGGGACACGGCCCAGACUCCUACGGGAGGCAGCAGUGGGGAAUAUUGCACAAUGGGCGCAAGCCUGAUGCAGCGACGCCGCGUGAGGGAUGGAGGCCUUCGGGUUGUGAACCUCUUUCGCCAGUGAAGCAGGCCUGCUCCUUGUGGGUGGGUUGACGGUAGCUGGAUAAGAAGCGCCGGCUAACUACGUG
rnacentral:rRNA from 1 species